AACGAACGCUGGCGGCAUGCCUAACACAUGCAAGUCGAACGGGUACCUUCGGGUGCUAGUGGCGCACGGGUGCGUAACGCGGGGGAAUCUCCCCUUGGGUUCGGAAUAACUCAGCGAAAGCUGUGCUAAUACCGGAUGAUGUCGAAAGACCAAAGAUUUAACGCGCGAGGAUGAGCCGGCGUUGGCUUAGCUAGUUGGUGGGGUAAAGGCCUACCAAGUCGACGAUCCAUAGCUGGUCUGAGAGGAUGAUCAGCCACACUGGGACUGGGAAACGGCCCAGAAUCCUACGGGAGGCAGCAGUGGGGAAUAUUGGACUAUGGGCGAAAGCAUGAUCCAGCAAUGCCGGGUGAGUGAUGAAGGCCUUAGGGUUGUAAAGCUCUUUUACCCGGGACGAUAAUGACAGUACCGGGAGAAUAAGCACCGGCUAACUCCGUG
rnacentral:rRNA from 1 species